rnacentral:lncRNA from 1 species
GUGGGAUGGAUGAGGUGUGCUAAAUUAUUGAUGAAUCUAACUCUGCAAUUUUUCAGUACUAGCAGAGAAGUAUUCGAUACUUACAUUACCUUAAAAUUGAUUUAACAAACAUAAAUUUGAUAUUUGGAAAGCCAAGGCCGAUUGAUGUGCAUGGUGAUUUUUCAACCAGAUGAGCCUACUGAUGUUUCAUUGUUAAAUUGCCACAAUUGUCCUUAUCUGCCAUUUCGUAAAUUAUUAAAAUAUCAUCCUGAAAGCAUACAAAGUGAUAAGUCAGAGGGAUUUGUUGUUUAAAAUGCAGAUGCCCUACAGAAUAUGAUCUCAAACAUAUGAAGUUAUCUGGAAUAAAGCUAUUGCUAUGUAUAUUCACGAUUUAGAGAAUAUUAGCCCUCCUACUUCAGUAGUAAUGUAACCGAUAUGACUUUUACAAGGUGUCGAG